rnacentral:rRNA from 1 species
GACGUAGGGGGCCAGCGUUGUUCGGAAUUACUGGGUGUAAAGGGUUCGUAGGCGGUGUGGCAAGUCGGGAGUGAAAUCUCUGGGCUCAACUCAGAGACUGCUUCCGAAACUGCUGUGCUGGAGUGUGGGAGAGGCGCGUGGAAUUGCAGGUGUAGCGGUGAAAUGCGUAGAUAUCUGCAGGAACACCCCGUGGCGAAAGCGGCGCGCUGGACCACUACUGACGCUGGAGGAACGAAAGCUAGGGGAGCAAACAGG